rnacentral:rRNA from 1 species
GACAGAGGAUGCAAGCGUUAUCCGGAAUGAUUGGGCGUAAAGCGUCUGUAGGUGGCUUUUAAGUCCGCCGUCAAAUCCCAGGGCUCAACCCUGGACAGGCGGUGGAAACUACCAAGCUGGAGUACGGUAGGGGCAGAGGGAAUUUCCGGUGGAGCGGUGAAAUGCGUAGAGAUCGGAAGGAACGCCCGUGGCGAAAGCGAGCUCCUGGACCUUUUCUGACACUGAGACGCGAAAGCUAGGGGAGCGAACGGG